UACGAAGGGGGCUAGCGUUGCUCGGAUUGACUGGGCGUAAAGGGCGCGUAGGCGGUUCGUACAGUCAGACGUGAAAUUCCUGGGCUCAACCUGGGGGCUGCGUUUGAUACGUUGCGGACUUGAGUGCGGAAGAGGGUCGUGGAAUUCCCAGUGUAGAGGUGAAAUUCGUAGAUAUUCGCAAGAACACCAGUGGCGAAGGCGGCCCACUGGUCCGGUACUGACGCUAGGUGCGAAACGUGGGGAGCAAACAGG
rnacentral:rRNA from 1 species